UAACCUUCACCCGUAGAUCCGAAUUUGUGUAUAAAGAGUUUUCACUUACUCAUUUUUACUUGAAAAAUUGAAACUAAAUUGAACAUCACAAGUUUGUUUCUACGGGUCCAGGUUAA
rnacentral:pre_miRNA from 2 species